CACAGACAAAUCUUGCUCUCUUCCCUCUCUCUCUCUCUCUCUCACUCUCUGAGCAAUGUUGAUUCCUUUCCAUAACUCCUCGCCUCGAAACUGAUCCGAAAAUGGUGAAGAUUCUCCGGAACGACGUCGCAUCUCUGGUUCUCGACCGUUCCGGAGGAGCAAAUUUCAGGUUAUGGCCUGCAUUUCGCCGGAAAAUCUUCGAUACUAUGCGAUGUGGUGUAUCUCAACACCGUCGGAAUGAAGACGCUGGUAAUGUUGGAUCACCGGUUCAGAAGCCGAAGCCGAAGCCGAAGAAGAAGAGAACGGAUUCGAAGAAGAAUGGUGGAUCGGAGAGGUUAUCGGACCUCUUGAACUUGUCGGAAACUUCGGAGACGGGAGUUGAUGAAACUGAGGUGGAAACGAGGAGGAAAGUUGAGGUUCUUGAUGAGCUUCAAGGAGUUUUUAAGAAGUUACAGUUCGAAGAAGGAUCAUUGCAAAAGGAGGCAGCUGUGGAUGUUAGGAGACUUGCGAAGGAAGAUUCCGAGGCGAGAUCGACACUCGCUAUGCUUGGAGCGAUUCCUCCUCUUGUAGGAAUGCUUGAUUCUAACGAUCAAGAUGUUCAGAUUGCGUCGCUCUAUGCUCUUCUCAAUCUAGGGAUCGGAAAUGAUACGAAUAAAGCAGCCAUAGUCAAAGCUGGUGCUGUUCACAAGAUGCUUAAGCUCAUUGAAGUUCUGGAGGAGUCUCCGAACUCGUCUGUAUCCGAAGCCAUUGUGGCAAAUUUCCUUGGCUUGAGUGCUCUCGACUCUAAUAAGCCAAUCAUUGGUUCCUCUGGCGCGAUUCCAUUCUUGGUGAAAACCCUUCGGAACGUGGACAAGAAGAGUGGUCCUCAAGAAAGGCAAGAUUCUCUUCGAGCUUUGUAUAACCUUUCAAUUUCCAGUUCAAACGUCACCCAAAUUCUGGAAACUGGCCUCGUCUCCUACCUCCUGAGCAAUGUUGGCGACAUGGACAUGAGUGAAAGAAUCCUCUCAAUCCUCAGCAAUAUAGUUUCAACUCCGGAAGGACGGAAAGCAGUUAGUAAAUCGCCCGAAGCAUUUCCGAUUCUGAUCGAUGUUUUGAAUUGGACGGACUCGCCAAGUUGCCAGGAAAAGGCAUCUUACAUUCUAAUGUUAAUGGCCCAUAAGGCUUACGGUGAUCGGCAGGCCAUGAUUGAGGCAGGAAUUGUGGCAUCUCUGCUUGAAUUGACACUCCUAGGAAGCACGUUAGCACAGAAGAGGGCUUCAAGAAUAUUGGGGUGUCUCAGAGUAGAUAAAGGGAAGCAAAUUCCGGAGGGUUAUGGAGCGGCAGUGUCCGCCCCUAUUUGUGGGUCAUCGUCUUCGUCUGGGCCAAAUAGGGAUGUGAAGGAAGCCUUGACUGUAGAAGGUGAUGAAAUGAUGAGCGAGGAGAAGAAGGCAGUGAAGCAAUUGGUACAACAGAGCUUGCAGAACAACAUGAGAAGAAUCGUGAAGAGGGCAAACUUGCCGCAAGAAUUUGUUCCUUCUGACCACUUCAAGUCUCUCACUUCAUCUACGAAGAGCUUACCAUUUUGAGGAACUGUUUUACAGAAAAUACGAGCAGCUUACAAGCAGCCAGAACGUCUUUUUGGAAAGGAUAUCUGCCAAAGUUUUGGUCAAGGUAGUUGAAGCCUUGAAGGACUAAGAUCCAAUGAAGGAAAAGAAGAGGAGAAGUUACUGAUAUCAGUGUCUAUCACGUGAGAUUUCUUUUCCCCAGGUGUAUAUAAUAUAAUCUUUUGUGUGGUAUAGUCAGUCACCAUAGUUUUCCUUUCUCUAGUCUAUGGGCAUUUUCUUUUGUUCAAUGUAAAGUUAUGUGGGAAUCUCAUUUGCCCAUAACCAAUUUUGAUUAGUUCUUUA